rnacentral:rRNA from 1 species
GCAGAAUUCCGCGAAUCAUCGAGUCUUUGAACGCAAGUNGCGCCCGGGGCUCGACCCAGGGCAUUUCUGCCAGAGCGUCACC